ensembl:lncRNA
GGAGAGAGGAAACAAGAGAAAGAAAGACAGAUUGUAGAGAAGUCUGGUCUACUGAACAGGAUCAACGCUCACAGCUCAGACUGAAAGUUAACUAAAAAAAAAACAGAAGACAAGAACUGUCUGAUAUCUGCUCCCUUGUCUCGGGAAGAAACUGCUGGGAAGGAGGGGAGGAAGAAACAGAGGAAAUGUGUGAUAGCUUCCGCACAUCCUCCCAAGACAGUACUUCCACUAGGAAAAAGUAGAAGAAAAAUGCACGUGUAUUGCCUGUUCAGGUGUGUGUGCAUGUGCAUAUGUGUGUGUGAGAAUCUUUUGAAACCGCUUCUAUUUAGAGGAUGUGGUCAGCGAAGAUCUGCGCCCCCCAAAUGUCCCUGUAAUGAUUAGUGAUCCCCUCAGGAGAAGUAAAUCUCAGAGUUUCAUUGCACAAUC